rnacentral:lncRNA from 1 species
GGGGUAUGCUUAUGAGUUGUUAGAAUGUGUUUGGCACCUCAUUCGAGUCCACCUGUGUAGGAUCGGACCCGAGGGACCGAGGAGGCCAGUAGUGCUAGCAGUUGCAGAGUCAGUCGGCGUCUGCCAGGAGGUGAGUAGAACUAAACUUAAUGUUUUAUUUUAAGAAAUUCUAAUGCCUAAAGCAUGAGCAUGCAUCAUGAUUAUGUAUAGUAGGUUGAUUGCACUAGUUCACGAA